ACAGAUAUUCAUCAACAUUGUUCAUAAGUUGUUUUAUCUUAUCUGAAUUUACUUAAUAUGCAUGAUUCAAAAAAAAAAUUCACUGUAUGAGUUUUGAUUAACAAGUUAUUCAUGUAGCAAAUAUCUUCCUUUCGUUUUUUCUGUUCUGUUUGUGCUUUGGUUUUAUGGAAUGUUGCACCUUAACUAGUUCAACUUUGAUUUUGGUCGGAAGAAAAGAAUUUCCAUUCAAAUUUUUUCAAAAGUUAGACUUUGGAGUAGAGUUGAACAGAAAACUCCUUUUCGACCAGUAUGUCGAAAACUUUGUAAGAGAUGUCAACGAUUUGCUUCAAUAUGUCCUUUGACAUUGUAGGAUUUUCAAAAAUGAUAAAACUUUUUUGGUAACAUAUUCCUCAAUCUAUUGCCAAGUAAAUUUUGCAUUAGCGAUUUGGAAUCCUCAGUCAAAAAAUAAUUUAGCUUAUAGCAAUCAUAUGUACUCGCAUAUCCUAGAGAGGCAUGAUGGAGCUGAAAUCGCUGGCCAAUGACGGACAUCGUUUUCUUGUAAAAUUUGUUAAAGAUCUCUGUGUGCCUAAAAUUCAGAAUGAUAACUCUGUUCAAUAGCCUUUGCAACAACUUGGAUAUUUACGGUUCAUCCCUAUGUACUCUGAAUAUUCUCUCAUAAACAACAACAAAAAAACAAUCAAUUUCAUUUUCCUUCAUAAAUAGUAUAUUUAUACAGUGAUUGGAUAAAGUGAGGAACAAUAUUCAUAACUCCGUUGUUGAAUGUUUUCGAGCGAAACGCUCAGACAGAUCAAUUGUGGUCAGGGCCGGUCUAGCUCCAUAGGUGGCCUUUGGCAAGAUGCUGAUUUGGGCCCCCCUCCAAAAAUUAAGACGAUAUUUAUUGGGCGCCUCUCAUGACAUCUAACGGGGUUUGGAAAGGUUUUAAAUUUUAUUUAAUGUGGUUUGAAAGAAUUGCCUUCAUGUCAGUAGUAAAUUUAGAUUUAUCAAUUAUUGUCUCGCUACUUAAAAGAACAAGAUUAAUUAUGUAGUACUACUUGGGAGUGGUUAUAUCUAAAAUAGAACGAAAAUUCAAUGAUAGGCCUACUGCAAAUAUGACAAUGGAAAAUACAAUACACAAAAAACAAUAUAUUACAACUAUAAGCACAACUUUAAAUUAACACCUUGGUAUAUAUUGAUACAGUGGACUCUUGUUAACUUGAAACACCACGGGACCAAGAUUUUUCGUCGAGUUACGAAUAGUUUGACAUAGGCGUAAUUCAAGUUAUACAGGUCAUUCUUGAUUAAAUUCGAUUUACAGAGGUAAUGAGAUAUAGAGGUAAGCUGAGAGGUAAACCAAGUGGUAAUUCGGGUUAUAGAGGUAAAGAAUUGUGAUAUUUAUUCCCUAUAAUAAGAGUAGAUCGUACAUAUUUGAUUAAUUUACUGAAAAUGAAUUGACAAUAGAAAAUUUCACAAUGAAAUAAAUCAACGUGUCUUUGUGUUGACAAAAGCCAAUUGACAAAUUCUGAAUAUUUUAAGAGUUUAUCUGAUGAAGGAGUCUGAUUUAGACUCUAAAACGUCAAAAGAUAUUACUCAUGAGAGUUAGUUUCUUUUUUGGUAACAUUUUUUUCAUCCUGACAAAUUAUUGCAAUUAUUGCCCAGGAACAUUUCAUUCAAAUUAUUUAAGCUUGUUUUAGAAAUUGAGAGUGAAAACUGUAAAUAAGUUUUUCGUAAAAAUUCCAAUCUACCGAGAGGUCUCAGAGGCUUAGGAAAGUCGGGAUAAAAAACAUCAAACAAAAUAUGUAUUUCCAACAACCUUUAAAUAACUGAGCAACAAAUAAAACAAAAUUCUAUAAAACCUCACGAAGCAGUUAUUGAAUAAUUAAAUUCGCUCGAUUUAUCGACACGUUUCGACUUGUGCGGCAGGGUUUGGAAUUACUACUGACUUCGAGUUAUAGAGGUAAAUUUAGUGCGUCUUCGACUUAUAGAGGUAAAAAUGGUAAAAUAUAUCAGUAAAAUCGUUUCGAGUUAUGCAUGGAAUUUUUUUCGGCAUAGACAGGUUUUUUCAAGGGGAUUGAAACUAAUUUGUGUUAACGAGGAUUCCGAGUUAACGAGGUUCGAGUUAUCGAGAGUCCACUGUACUAAAAUAGGGCCUGAUAAAAUAGUCAAGUAAAAGUAUAAAAUAAAUCAUUAUUAUAUAAUAAUACAUAAAUAAAUAUUUAAACAAAGUUUUUACACUCAUAUGGGUUAGUUCCAAAUGGUUGACGGAUAGCAAUUUUAACAUUUGCGUUAAAUUUUGUUUAUCUUUUGAGUUCAAUAAAUAUUUUCUUCCAUGAAAGUUUCAUGUUUAUUUUUUACAGUGAAUUUUGAAUAAAAUUGUUAUCUAUGGUACAAAUUUUUUUACACCAUCAAUAAGUGUCCAAUGAAUCAGCAAAAAAAUAUUGAGGCAGUCAUAAAUAAACUUCUCAUGUCAUAAGUUUUCUAAUCAAAAACUAAAAUUGACUUGUCCUAUCGUUUUGCUGAAAUAAAUUCAAUAACGUAGUAAAGAAUUUUAUUCUUUACUUUAUCCAAACACUGUAUUGGUUCUUUCUGUAUCAAAUAUUUUCAUUUGUAUAUUUCUGAAGCAAUAUUACUGCAUACUUUUUUGUUAUUUAGAAUAUUAGCUUGCUUUUUUCUAUUCCAUGAAGAUCAUUAAUCAUCUUUUGAGGAAAAUUUCUAAA